rnacentral:rRNA from 1 species
UACGGAGGAUGCAAGCGUUAUCCGGAAUGAUUGGGCGUAAAGCGUCCGCAGGUGGCGAUGUAAGUCUGCUGUUAAAGAGUCUAGCUCAACUAGAUAAGAGCAGUGGAAACUACAUAGCUAGAGUACGUUCGGGGCAGAGGGAAUUCCUGGUGUAGCGGUGAAAUGCGUAGAGAUCAGGAAGAACACCGGUGGCGAAGGCGCUCUGCUGGACCUUAACUGACACUGAGGGACGAAAGCUAGGGGAGCGAAUGGG